rnacentral:tRNA from 1 species
CAAAAGAUAGUUUAAUAAAAAUACUGGCUUUGGGAGCCAGCGAUAAGGGGUAGACCUUUCUUUUGA